rfam:Colletotrichum salicis strain CBS 607.94 Scaffold_1239.1, whole genome shotgun sequence.
GGCGUUGUGGCAGAGUGGUCUAAUGCGCAUGACUAGAAAUCAUGUUCCUUCGGGAGCGUCUGUUCGAAUCAGGCCAACGUCG